rnacentral:rRNA from 1 species
AACGAACGCUGGCGGCAUGCCUAACACAUGCAAGUCGAACGAGACCUUCGGGUCUAGUGGCGCACGGGUGCGUAACGCGUGGGAACAUGCCCUUAGGUUCGGAAUAACUCCCCGAAAGGGGUGCUAAUAACGGAUAAUGUCUUCGGACCAAAGUUUUAUCGCCUUUGGAUGGGCCCGCGUUGGAUUAGCUAGUUGGUAGGGUAAAAGCCUACCAAGGCGACGAUCCAUAGCUGGUCUGAGAGGAUGAUCAGCCACACUGGGACUGAGACACGGCCCAGACUCCUACGGGAGGCAGCAGUGGGGAAUAUUGGACAAUGGGCGAAAGCCUGAUCCAGCAAUGCCGCGUGAGUGAGGAAGGCCUUAGGGUUGUAAAGCUCUUUUACCCGGGAUGAUAAUGACAGUACCGGGAGAAUAAGCGCCGGCUAACUCCGUG